UUGGAUGGCAUCAUUUGAUGAUUAAAACUGAGGUGGUAAAAGAUGGGCAUGCGUCUGAUUAGUUAGUUGGCAGUGUAACGGACUACCAAGACGAUGAUCAGUAGGGGACCUGAGAGGGUGAUCCCCCACACUGGCACUGAGAUACGGGCCAGACUCCUACGGGAGGCAGCAGUAGGGAAUAUUGGACAAUGGGUGAGAGCCUGAUCCAGCCAUGCCGCGUGCAGGAAGAAGGCGUUAUGCGUUGUAAACUGCUUUUGCCAGGGGAUAAAACGGUUCUGCGGAACUAAUUGAAGGUACCUGGUGAAUAAGCCACGGCUAACUACGUGCCAGCAGCCGCGGUAAUACGUAGGUGGCAAGCGUUGUCCGGAUUUAUUGGGUUUAAAGGGUGCGUAGGCGGCCCUGUAAGUCAGUGCUGAAAUAUCCCGGCUUAACCGGGAGGGUGGCAUUGAUACUGCAGGGCUUGAGUACAGAUGAGGUAGGCGGAAUUGACGGUGUAGCGGUGAAAUGCAUAGAUAUCGUCAAGAACACCGAUAGCGAAGGCAGCUUACCAAGCUGUAACUGACGCUGAGGCACGAAAGUGUGGGGAUCAAACAGGAUUAGAUACCCUGGUAGUCCACACUGUAAACGUUGAUGACUCGAUGUUGGCGAUACACAGCCAGCGUCCAAGAGCAAUCGUUAAGUCAUCCACCUGGGGAGUACGCCGGCAACGG
rnacentral:rRNA from 1 species